CUGUAUUCAAACACAUUUAGUUUUUUUUCUCUUUUUAGAAAUAUAAUGAAGAAAAAGAGAAUAAAAACAAUACACUAAGUGUAAAAAUGUAUCAGUAGCAAUAUAUCAAUAUAAUGGCACAAUAAAUUGCAACAUAUUGAAUGGUGCCAUUAUACUGUAUGAUACACUGUUAUACUAAAUAUAUUAUUUUUAUGGCCUUUUUAGUGUUAACAAUGUCUUGUUGAUGGAAUACUGGAAAACAACCACCAUUUAAAACAACAGGUACUCAUAUAUUCGGAAUAAGUAUAAACAAUAGUCUAAAAGUUAUGAUUAUACAGUAAGUUAAAAUAUACAUUAUGAUAUAAAGGUGAGAUAAAAUAAUUAUAAUGGCAGUAGGAGCAAAACUGUCCUUUUAAAGACGUCACUCCAACUAAAUAAAAUACUGAAAGAGCAGAACAGCCUGUUCAACUUGUUAAAGUAAAGGACCACUAUACUGCCAGGAAAACAAACUCGUUUUAAUUUGCACUAUAAAGGUAAGUAACAG